GCUUAACCAUCUUCUUUUUAAAAUUCCUCAACCUCCCCUCAACCCAUUUUUAUUAAAGAGCAAUUCUAUAUCUUUAUAGAAGAUUUAAUGUUAAAACUAGUAAUAAGAAGCAGACCCUUCUCUUUAAUGUAAACUUAUAUCAGCAAGGACACCNCCACUGAUCUUUAACGUCCCUAAAAUUAUAGUAAAAACUUAUCAAGAAAACAUUACUCUUAUUUACGUUAACCUUACACAAGAACAUUUUAAGAAAGAUUAAAAGGAAAAGAAGGAACUCGGCAAAUAUUAGCCCCGCCUGUUUACCAAAAACAUCGCCUCUUGAUUAUUUAUAAGAGGUCCAGCCUGCCCAGUGACUUUGUUCAACGGCCGCGGUAUCCUAACCGUGCGAAGGUAGCGUAAUCACUUGUUCUUUAAAUGAGGACUAGUAUGAAUGGCCCCACGAAGGCUACACUGUCUCCUUUUCCUAAUCAAUGAAACUAAUCUUCCCGUGAAGAAGCGGGAAUAAUAAUAUAAGACGAGAAGACCCUAUGGAGCUUUAAACUAUAGAAACACUUGCUUUUUACCUUUAACCCUCCCGAGGUUCNUCCAAAUAUUUAAGCAAUUUUUAUUUCUAGUUUUAGGUUGGGGUGACCACGGAGUAAAAUUUAACCUCCAUGAUGAAAGAGACCCUCUCUUAGCUAAAAGCUACCUCUUUAAGCACCAACAAAUUGACUCUCAUUGACCCAAUUAAUUGAUCAACGAACCAAGUUACCCUAGGGAUAACAGCGCAAUCUACCUCGAGAGCUCAUAUCGACAGGUGGGUUUACGACCUCGAUGUUGGAUCAGGGUAUCCUAGUGGUGCAGCCGCUACUGAUGGUUCGUUUGUUCAACGAUUAAAACCCUAC
rnacentral:rRNA from 1 species